ACUUGGAGGCGGGACUCUGUCCC
rnacentral:misc_RNA from 1 species